CCACCGCGACGCCGCGAGAGACACGCCCCCGCGUCCUGCGCGCGGCGCCGGCGGCGCCAGGGGGACGGAGCCGGCCGUUUCGAGAGGGCGGGGCGCGCCGCCCCCGUCGCCGGGGCAACCGCGGAGGCCGCGGAGAAGUUUCUCCCGCCUCGCGCGCAGGCGCGCCGCCGCCUCCUCUUUGUGAGCUGUCAGUGCAACGCAACGGGCAACGUUUUACCGUCGCCUGUUUGAGAUAACAAUGGAACAGCAAAGCUCGGUUGCAUUCUGUAAGCUCUCUGGCUACCGGUUGCGUCAAGCCGUCCUUUAACCAUGGUUUCUGAUGGAAGAUGUUGUUUGCAGAUCACAGUGGUUAGAGCAACCUUGUUGGAUGCCUCAUCUGACCGUUAGAACAAUCAAUCAGUAGAACAACCUGCCUCCAGAAGUUGUGAAUGUUCCAACAUUGGAAGUUUUUAGGAAGAGACUGGACAGCCAUUGGUCUGAAAGGGUUUCCUGCCUGAGCAGGGGGUUGGACUAGAAGACCUAUCUCCAAGAUCCCUUCCAACUCUAUUAUUAUUGUUGUUGUUGUUACUAUUAUUAUUGAAUAAUAAUAAUGAUGAUGAUGAUGAUGCUUUUCUUUCUCCCAUGUACAAUUUGGCCUGGAUUUUAAACAAGUUCCAUUUCUGCAGCCCAAUACUCAACAUGAAUUUUUGCCACUUGAUACGUGGUUCUUUCAAAUACAGCACUUGGCUUGGCUGGUCUUAUCUGCUGGACGCUGCAAUGAAAAAGGAUCUGGCCUUAAAAAAGCAAGAGAAAAAAUAAAAAGCAGAUCUGGAAAUAACCCAACUGUACUAUUUGGAAAAUGAGAGAACACCUAAGUGUCUCUUCCCUUUUAGCAUAUCCAGUAGUCAGAGCCAACAGAAUCUGCUCCGGGAAAACAUGUGAUUAUGGUUUGUUACAUUUGGCAUUUUUAUCUCUCUUUCGAGUCCUUCCCAAGGACCUGUUGUUUGAUGGGAUCAUCGCAGGGUGCAAGUUGUUCUGAGAAAAGCUGCCUUUUGCAAUUGACUGAUGGGGAUUUUAUCAAUGCUGAUGGUGUUGAAGCUCCUGAGAUGUUGAGAUUGCACCCAAGGCACUUUUAGUAUUGGUUCUAUCUUUAGGCUUUCUUUUGCCACUGUCAUCCCACUUCUAUUUGCAGAUUUAUUAUUAACUGGAGGAUGGGACAAUUCAUUCUUCACGUUAAAUCUCACCUUUUCUCCUGAAGCUCAAAGGCCCUUCCUUCCAUCUUCCCUCACAACAAGCAUGCAAAGUAGGAUGGACAAAGUCGAUCAGAAAUAGUUCAGCUAAAGGUGCUGUGAAGAAUACAACAACCUCCUCUUCCCCUGUGACCACCCUCCACUAUUAGAAGACGGCAAUCAGGCUUCCCCUCAGCCUUCUCUUCAUUAAGCUAAGCGUACUUAGUUCUUCAUACGAUUUAGCCUCCAGACCUCUUAUCAUCUUUGUUGCUCUUCUCUGCACACUUUCUACAGUAUCAGCAUCUUUUUUUGUACUGUGGUAACCCAAACCGGACGCAGUAUCCCAAGAGUGACCUCCCUAGUGCAGUAUACUGCUAUCACUUCACGCAGUCUUGAAACUGGAAAAUACUUCAGCUGUGACCUACCAGGACACCUAGAUACUGCCCCACGCGCUUGCGGCCUAAAUAAGCCCUUCCCGAAAGUAAGACCUUCUGCUUAUUUCAGCACCCAAAAGACAGGGUCUUACUUUUGGGGAAACGCGGU